GCAUAUCAAUAAGCGGAGGAAAAGAAACUAACAAGGAUUCCCUUAGUAACGGCGAGUGAAGCGGGAAGAGCUCAAAUUUGAAAUCUUCAAGGUUCUACCUUGACGAAUUGUAGUUUAAAGAAGUGUUUUCUGUUAGAUGAGUAGCAAAAGUUCCUUGGAAUGGGACAUCAUAGAGGGUGAGAAUCCCGUAUUUGGUUAUUCAUUCUAGCUUUGUGAUACACUUUCAAAGAGUCGGAUUGUUUGGGAAUGCAGUCCAAAAUGGGUGGUAAAUUUCAUCUAAAGCUAAAUAUUGGCGAGAGACCGAUAGCGAACAAGUACCGUGAGGGAAAGAUGAAAAGAACCUUGAAAAGAGAGUUAAACAGUACGUGAAAUUGUCAAAAGGGAAGCGUUUGACACCAGUGUUGUUUUUCCGAAAAUCAAUUACGAAUGGCUUGAUUUUGUGUUGUAUUGACCUUAUCAGCUUUCUUCACUUUUUUCGAGUCUUUCUUAAUGCACUUUUCGGUUAACAAGUCAACAUCAAUUUCUUUUGUUGUAAAAGAGUAUUCGGAAGGUGGCUUUCUUUUCGGAGAAAGUGUUUAUAGCCCUAUACUUCUACAAUCGGAGAGAUUGAGGUCUGCAGCGUAGAUCCUUCGGGGUUAGAUACACUUGUGCUAAGUUGUAGCUUUUCAUAGACAACUUGUUGACUAUGUUUAGUCAUGCGGCUUACUCGCUUGUGCUAUUUUACCUACGCUUAGGAUGUUGACAAAAUGGUUUUAAACGACCCGUCUUGAAACACGGACC
rnacentral:rRNA from 1 species